rnacentral:rRNA from 1 species
AUUGAACGCUGGCGGCAUGCCUUACACAUGCAAGUCGAACGGUAACAGGUCUUCGGAUGCUGACGAGUGGCGAACGGGUGAGUUAUACAUCGGAACGUGCCCGAUCGUGGGGGAUAACGAGGCGAAAGCUUUGCUAAUACCGCAUACGAUCUACGGAUGAAAGCGGGGGAUCUUCGGACCUCGCGCGGACGGAGCGGCCGAUGGCAGAUUAGGUAGUUGGUGGGAUAAAAGCUUACCAAGCCGACGAUCUGUAGCUGGUCUGAGAGGAUGAUCAGCCACACUGGGACUGAGACACGGCCCAGACUCCUACGGGAGGCAGCAGUGGGGAAUUUUGGACAAUGGGCGAAAGCCUGAUCCAGCCAUGCCGCGUGCAGGAUGAAGGCCUUUGGGUUGUAAACUGCUUUUGUACGGAACGAAAAGCCUCUUUCUAAUAAAGAGGGGUCAUGACGGUACCGUAAGAAUAAGCACCGGCUAACUACGUG